rnacentral:lncRNA from 1 species
GGCAGGGACUCGCUGGACUGUGAGGAGAAGCAGUGUGUCCUCACCUUUCCACCUUCCUCUGGCCACAGCUUUAGCUGCUGAAUGAUAACAAGGCUGCCUGCCGAUCUCAUAAGAGGGCAUCUUGGGCAAGGCAAGGAGAAAGGGCUUUGGAGUCUUGAGUUCAAAUCCCGGCUCCCCCAGCUGCUGUGCAACCGUGAUGUAUGACAGCCUCUCUGGGCCUCAGUGUUUGUAUCUGCAAGAUGAGGCUCUGACAUAGACCUGAUUAGGUUAUGGUGAGGAUUACACAAUCCCUGCUUGAAAGGCACCUGGCUUGUUCUGAGUAAACCCUGUGACUCCCUUUAAUUCCUGGUGGGUGGCUUGCUUGUGCCCUCAUGAGGUUCAGCACUUGGCAGUACCCUGUCACCUGUUCAUCAUUAGCAAUGACGGACGCAAUGCUUCCUCUGUGACAAAGCCUCAUCCGACAGAGCAGGACUGCAGGGCUUCUCCAGGGCUUGGGGAGGGGGACAAGGGCAGUGCGCACAGUUCCUUUUUGUUUGCUGAUGCCACACUAGGCACGUGAAAGGGCUGGGUCAGAGAACCCAGCUUGGCCCACGCUGUCUCGGUUGGUGGCCGUCCUCACCUUCCUCACCCUUCAGAUCCCGUAGGGAGCCCCUGCGGUGGUGCCAUGGACGGGAAGCAUCCCACCGUGCUUGUGGCUCACCUCGAGGUCCAGGUGUCACUGCAUGGCCUGAAAAGGACUGUCUCCGAGCAGAACAAGCUCAUGACCAAGAACAAAGAGGACAUCUUGACCGUGUAAGUAAUGAUGACCGCUCUGUCCCCAGCUCAUAGGGACCCUGAGGACUCCAGGUUGCCUCCCUAUGUUGGCUCCUGAUUCAAGCAGAUGGCAGGGGGGUGUGUCCCAAGGAGCUGGGUGCUGAUGUCAGGAGCCCAGCACCCUUGUGGAAGCCAAGAACGACACUGAGGGGGCAAGAAGAGACUGUGAUGAGCUAAGUGAUGGUGUUGUCCCCAGCACGCAACAAGGGCUGGUGCGGCAACUGGCGACCUGAGAGGGAGGGCUGGUCCCAGCAGGGAGGUGUUCAUAGAAGGGAGAGAUUUUCGGUGAGGAGUGGCAGCACAGUCAUUCUCAACCCAGUGUGUCUUGGGAGAUGCCUAUGGGGUGGAAGUUGGAUGAUCAGGCUGUUAUUGGGUCAAUCUGAUUCAAGGAGAGGGAGGAGAGGUGACGUGGCCAGAAGGAGGGCAGGAGGGUGGACAGCAGAGAAUGCAGCCGGCCACCCGGGCCAUCCCCCUUGCCUCCACUCACUCAUCCUUUCCCACCCCUGGGCCGAGGAUGCGUCUCAUUAGGUAGUUUUCAGAUGGGUAAACUGAGGCAGGAGCCAUUCCAGGCCCAGAGAGGAGAGCCAGGAAGGCACGUGUUGUAAUCCCUGGGUUAGUUUUUCAUUCACACACAGGGGAACCUCUCCAGCCCUGCCACUCACUAGUUUUAAGAGGCUCAAGUGUUCUGAUUCCUGGCAGCAGCAACGUGGUAAUGCUUCUUUCUUGUUCCCUCCCUGAUCCCUUCUUCCCUCAUGCUUGAGGGCUUGGCCCCGCUUUUCUCCAUGUAUUUCCACCAGGGUGCCACACUGCCUGGAAUUGCAACCGCUGGGGCCUUGUCCAGUUUAUUAUCUCUCACCACAGGUGCAGGAAGGAGGCAGGGAGCAGGGCUGUGUCGCAGAGCAAGGCCAGGGCAUCCCACCCCACCAUGGCCGCCCAUCCCCAUGGCCUCCCUCAAGAUCAGGAAACUGCUCCACAUUGCAGUAACUAAGUGCACCAGGCGUGGCUGCUGGUGAGGGGUGGUCAGGCAGCACCUGUGGCCAGCCUAAAGGAAGGUCAAGGUUUGUGAAGGCAUCUGGUGCCUCCCCUGUUGAAAUUUCUUUUUCUCCUCCUUAUUAGUUGAAUCUUAAGAAUUGACAGUACCAUAAAACGUGAAACCUUUAUUUCUGCUUUUUAAAUGGAAAACCGGGCUGGGCACAGCGGCUCAUGCCUAUAAUCCCAGCACUUUGGGAGGCUGAGGUGGGCAGAUCGGCUGAGGUCAGGAGUUCAAGAUCAGCCUGGCCAACAUGGUGAAACCCCAUCUCUACUAAAAAUACAAAAAUUAGCCAGGCAUGGUGGCACAUGCCUGUAACCCCAGCUACUCAGGAGGCUGAGGCAGGAGAAUCGCUUAAACCCAGGAGGCGGAGGUUGCAGUGAGACGAGAUUGCGCCAUUGCACUCCAGCCUGGGUGGCAGAGUGAGACUCCACCUCAAAAAAAAGAAAAAAGGAAAACCAAGCAAAAGUCACUGUCAGGGGACCUCCCACCCACCAUACAGGGGAACACUCGGCAGAGCCAGAGGCCUGGGCCCAAGUCCUGCCACCAGCUGGCUGUGAAACUGUGGUACAGCACCUUGUGUCCUGCCACCAGCCGGCUGUGAAACUGGUACAGCACCUUGUCCUCAGGUCCUUGGUUUCCUCACUUGUAAAUUCAUGGUUCUCCAUGGCAUCUCUGGUCUUCAACAUUAUUUUGCAUAGAGUCUCAGAAGCUUUAGUGUGAGCGGAUGAUAUGGGCACGAAGCAAGGCACCCAGAAGUGGGGGCAACUACUCUGCUUUCUAAAAUGCAAGGGAACCGGAAAAUCCAGGAGCCGUGCCAAAUGAGAAGAGGAACAAAUGGAGGAACAUCCCAGUCAAGUGACAUUCCUAGUGACAUUCACCAGAACAGAGUCAAGCUUUGGAUCCCAUGUUCUGUGACUUCCUCUUCACCACGCUUCCUCCACACACGUAGCAGCUCAAGGGUUUCUGAUGAGUGGGAGGCUUGACUAGAAUUGAAUUCGAGACAAGCACAAAGAUCAUGAUGCAAAUGAAAGGGACAGAGGGGAGAGAAACAGAAAACAAGUGAGUCAAAUUUGGUCUAUGUUCCCUUUAUGAGCUGUAACGCACACCAUGAAGGUCUGCGGCUUGGCUAUUGAGUCAGUGAGAGCGUGAACCUACUAUUAGAAGAAAAACUCUGAAUACGUCUGAACGUCAGAAAGAACGAAGUUUGGACACAUUGUCUUUAAGAACUGUAACACUCACCCCAAGGGUUUAUGGAUUCAUUCUUGAAAUCAGUGAAACCAAAAGCUUUCCAAAGUUUAACACACAGGGAAAUGACUUACUGCAAAGAACCACUCUUCCCCACGAGACUUCGAGAAGACCCGCUGUCACGGACUGAGUUGUGUCCUCUUAAAAUUCAGAUGUUGGAGUCCAAACCCCCAGUAACUCAGAGUGUGAACGUAUUUGAAGAGGUCUUUAAAGAGGUGAUGAAGGUCUUUGUCUCUGACAAUUUGCCUCUGUGACGUGGAUGGGACUGGAAGUCCAUUUGGAGCCCUGUCUUCUCCACCUAGGGAGAGAGACCCCAUGAGCUCGUCAAGCUCCUUCUGUGACUGAUCAGAGAUCCCACCGUGAGUCCAGCUCCUGGUCCCAUGCUCUGGAUAUAUCGGUCCCUGGCAGCGUGAGUGCCUCUGUGUUCACUGUCCCAUUUGAGAAUUCUAAGUAGAAUUCUGAACAGGCUGGAGCAGAUUGCCCACCCCAAGGGACAGAUGUUGGCUGGUACUGUUGGUAUUCAUGGAAGAUUCCUUCUGACACUCCCUCCUUCUUUGUAAUUGCCAUGAACUGGAGCACUGGGCCAAUAUAAAUCAUCCAAGGGUGAACACGCUGCACAUGGACGGCUCCUCUUUGUUUUUGAAGGGAUUCCAUCUCUAUUUUGCCAUGUGCUCCUUCACCCCACUCCCCACCCCCGUCUUUCAUUUCUUUCUCUGGAAAAGAUACUUCAACUCACAGGACUGCGAUGUUGAAACGGACACCCAAGAGCAUCACAGAUGGGCCAGGCCUGGACCUCUCGGGACAACAUUCCUCACGACUUUUAGAUAGAAGAGAUUAGAGAUUUGGGACUGGUGGCAACUGGUAACGUUUUCAGUGUUUGGUAAACAGCCAGGGUCCGGAGCUCUGGGAACAGCCUGAUUUAGCUCUUUGUUUAAGUUUUGUGUUAGAGGCUCCCAAGAAGCUGAUGCAGGGGAAAGAAAUUAACAACCAUGGCUCAUUCACAGCCAGGCAGCCAAAUGGACAGCUCUAUAAGACUCAAGCCGACAGCGGAGAGAGUGCAACCAAACAGCCUUGGCCCAGCUUUCAGAGGAGAACGUUAUUCACCCCAACUGCUCUGCAUCUGCCUGGAUGUCUGCCAAGAUCUGUGAGCAUUACAGCGUUGGUAUGCUUUGGGUGAGGCCUGUGGCUAUGGCAACAAGUUGGGAGCAACCCGGUCCCUGGGAAUGAGAACAGUGUCUAAAAUCAGGCAGGCGAGGGGCAGGGAGGAGAGGUAAAGGUUGGACUUGCCUGAAGAUGGAGCCGUUUUAUUGUUGUGGGUAAAGCUGCUACCAUUAGGGGCUGUUUACAGAGUGGGUGCAGCUCAAGCUGGGAGCAUGUUAGACUCAGCGACUACGAUCAACCUAUUGACUUGUUCCCAUGAGACAGAGUAAAUUAACUGUUGCAGUACUGGUCAUGUACCACCAACCUCCUGUGAACCAGCCCUCAGUGAAACAUUUAUGUGAAAGGCCAUGGUGUUCCCAUAAGAGGGUGCAUGUUCUCUCCCUUGACUAACUCUUCAGUAUGCCUCAUUCUCACGCGCUGGUGUGCAGGAAGGAGUCCAACAUGCCCCAUUGACAGUCAUGCCCUGUAUGUGGAAAGUCUUCAGGUAGAGCACUGGGCUCAGGUUUGAAGAUGUGAGUUCUAAUCCUAGCAAGGCCAUUACCUCCCAGUGACCUCAUGUCUCGAUUUCCUCAACCACAAAACAAAGGCAUUGGUGAGCUGACCUCUAAGGCCUCUCCAGUUCUCACCUUCUGUGUCUCUACAGACUGGAGACUAGAAGAUUAUGGGCACUUUUAUUGAGUCUUCAUUUUGUUUCCAUUUCUUUGUAGUCAUCAGCUGGAGUUGAGGACAAGUUUUAACAAUAGAUAGGUUUCUUUUUGUCUCUUUUUAAAAAAUUUUAUUUAAAAUAAAUGCCAAGUGUAGUGGCUCAUACCUGUAAUCCCAGCACUUUGGGGAGGCCAAGGUGGGAGGAUUGCUUUUGAGUUUGAGACCAGCCUGGGCAACGUGGUGAGACCCUGUUUGUACAAAAAAUUUUAAAUUAGCCAGGCAUGGUGGCGUGUGCCUAUAGUCCUAGCUACUCUGGAGGUAGAGGCAGGAGGAUCCCUUGAACCUGGGAGGUUGAGGCCACAGUGAGCUGUGAUUGUGCUAUUGAACUCUAGCCUGGGCAACAGAGCAAGACCCUGUCUCUUAAAAAAGACUAUUUUUUAAGAACACUUUUAGGUUCACAGCGAAAUUUGGAGGAAACUUGGCAUAUGUCAUAUGCCCCCUGCUCCCAUGCAUGCACAGCCUCUACCAUUAGCAAUGUCCCCACUCAAAUGGUACCUUUGUUGUAAUCAACAACCCUGUACUGACACAUCAUCAUCACCCAAACUCCAUAGUUCACAUUAGGUUUCACUCUUGGUGUGGUGUACAUUCCAUGGGCUUGAACAACUGUAUAAUGACAUUAUCCACCACUGCAGGAUCAUACAGAGUAGUCUCACUGCCCUAAAACUACUCUGUGCUCCACCUGUUUGUCCCUUCUUUCACUCUAAACUCCUGGCAACAACUGACCUUUUUACUGCCUCGAUAGCUUUGCCUUCUUCGGAAUGUCAUGUAGUUGAAAUCAUACAUCAUGAAGCCUUUUCAGAUUGGCUUCAUAUAGGUUUCCUUCCUUCCUUCCUCCCACCACCUUCCUUUCUUUCUGUAUUCCUAACUCUUGGAUGUAUUUUCCCCAGCAUCAUGACUUGAUGGGACUUUUGCUAAGAUAGGCAAUCAUAGAAAGUCAUAAAUCUCUUGUCAGCCUUAUUGGCUCACCUCCGAGAUGGUUCCAACACUCUUUAAGGCCCACUUUUCCAAUCCACAGAUUCCCCAGCAGAAGUCCAAGCUGCUGAGCCUCACAUCAUCUUUUGCACUAGUAAUCUUUACCACUACUUCACUGUAGCAUUUGAAAAUUUUCAUAUGAAGCCAUAGUUCUGUGUCUUUUUUUUUUUUUUUUUUUUUUUGGAGACGGAGUCUUAACCUGUUGCCCAGGCUGGAGUGCAGUGGCACAGUCUUAGCUCACUGCAAGCUCCGCCUCACGGGUUCAAGUGAUUCUUGCCUCAGCCUCCCAAGUAGCUGGGAUUACAGGCGCGCCACCAUGCCCAGCUAAAUUUGUUGGCAUUUUUAGUAGAGAUGGGGUUUCACCAUGUUGGCC